rnacentral:snRNA from 1 species
AUACUUACCUGGCAGGAGAGAUACCAUGAUCAUGAAGGUGGUUUUUCCAGGGAGAGGCUCAUUCAUUGCACUCCGGAUGUGCUGACCCCUGCGAUUUCCCCAAAUGUGGGAAACUCGACUGCAUAAUUUGUGGUAGUGGGGGACUGCGUUUGCUCCUCCCUG